rnacentral:tRNA from 2 species
GCGGACGUGGCGGAAUUGGUAGACGCGCUAGAUUUAGGUUCUAGUGCCGCAAGGUGUGAGAGUUCGAGUCUCUCCGUCCGCA